rnacentral:rRNA from 1 species
GACGAACGCUGGCGGCGUGCUUAACACAUGCAAGUCGAGCGAGCGGCGGACGGGUGAGUAAUGUAUGGGGACUGCCCGAUAGAGGGGGAUAACUACUGGAAACGGUAGCUAAUACCGCAUACUAUCGGAUAACCCAUAUGGGAUUAGCUAGUAGGUGGGGUAAUGGCUCACCUAGGCGACGAUCCCUAGCUGGUCUGAGAGGAUGAUCAGCCACACUGGAACUGAGACACGGCCCAGACUCCUACGGAGUCAGCAGGGGGGAAUAUUGCACAAUGGGCGCAAGCCUGAUGCAGCCAUGCCGCGUGGAUGAAGAAGGCCCUAGGGUUGUAAAGUACUUUCAGUCGGGAGGCGUUACCGACAGAAGAAGCACCGGCUAACUCCGUGCCAGCAGCCGCGGUAAUAC